GAUGAAGAACGCAGCGAAAUGCGAUACUUGGUGUGAAUUGCAGAAUCCCGUGAACCAUCGAGUCUUUGAACGCAAGUUGCGCCCGAAGCCAUUAGGCCGAGGGCACGCCUGCCUGGGCGUCACACGUCGUUGCCCCCCCAUCUACUCCUUCGGGAUUGCGGGGGGCGGAUGAUGGCCUCCCGUGCGCCUCGUCGCGCGGUUGGCCUAAAUGCCAAGUCCUCGGCGACGCACGCCACGACAAUCGGUGGUUGCGAAACCUCGGUUGCCUGUCGUGUGCGGUCGUCGCGCAUCGAGGGCUCGAAAAAAUUGCCGGGCUUCGGCUCGACUUUCAACGCGACCCCAGGUCAGGUGGGGUUACCCGCUGAAUUUAAGCAUAUCAAUAAGCGGAGGA
rnacentral:misc_RNA from 1 species